GCGAAGGUGGCGGAAUUGGUAGACGCGCUAGCUUCAGGUGUUAGUGUCCUUACGGACGUGGGGGGUCAAAAUCCCCUUCAGGUGUUAGUGUCCUUACGGACGUGGGGGUUCAAGUCCCCCCCCCUCGCACCA
rnacentral:tRNA from 1 species